rnacentral:rRNA from 1 species
GUCUAUAGCCAUGCUACCUUGAACAAGCCAGAUCCCGUCUAAUCUUGGAAGCUAAACAGGGUCGGGCCUGGUUAGUAUUUGGAUGGGAGACCGCUUACGAAGACCCAGGUGCUGUAGGCG